rnacentral:lncRNA from 1 species
GAAACUUAUGCCAAGAAUUUACUUAACGUGAUUGUGACUAGCAACCUUUACUACUUGUGAAUAUAAGUUCAUAACGAUUAGGUGAAAUUCACUUAUAUUUUAGCAUCAAAUUCAUGCAUGUAAAUUAAGGGUGCACUCUCAACCAACAUACACAAAUCAGUUUUUAUACGAACGGAUAAGUAAAUUGAAUUCACAACUUAUGAAAUCACAACUGAAGGUAAUCAAUUCAUAUUACAAAUAUAAUCAUGACUUUGAAUUAACCUCUAGCCAAAAUCAGUUUAUUUACACAUUAUUACAAAACAGAAAUAAAAGAGAAGUUUGGAAAGAUUAAACCGAAAGAGGAUCUGCUGCGUUCGUGCCCACUUCUCUCUCUCUCCUGCCCGCGUCAGUCUUCCUUGCGUCAGUCUCAGCUGCAAGGGUAGCUUCCCCCGUGCUCACCUCUCUCCAUACUCACCAUGCCGUGCUCACCUUUGGACUCUCCCCGCUUCACUCUUCUGACCGUCCUUGCGAGCUGCCCCUCUGACUUUUCUUCCGCUGCCAAGCUAAAGCUGCCCAAAGGCAGCUUUCCUCCAAGGCUCCUGCCCUCUCGUUUCUCUCACUACCGCUGCCCAAUGGCAGCCCUCGUGUUCUCUGUCCGUGCUCACAGCUGCCAAAUAGCAGCUGUUCCUCUUCAGCCUCCUGUCCGUUUCACUUCUCUCUCUCUGCGUCUCUGCGGGCUGCCCAAAGGGCAGCUCCUUUCUUUUCUCCCCCUUCUACACGCCCCCUUCUGCACGCCCCCCCUUUCCGUGCCUUUCUAUCCCUAUUUUAUUUCUUUUCUAUCCCACCUAACUUCCCUCUAUCCUCCUUUCUUAUUUUUCUUUCUUUCCCCACUCAAACUGCGCUGUCAGUCUCUCCCCGCCAGUGCUGUGCCUCUGUUUCCACCUCUCUCUUAUUUUAUUUCCACUCACGCUGCCAAGGGCAGCUCCCCCUUAUUAUUUUUUUUGCACUACCUCAGUGCUUUCUCUCCACUCGGGUUCCGCGUUCCCUUCUCCUAUCUUUUCCCUAUUUUAUUUUUCUUUCCUGCUGACCAGUCCUCCCCUUCUUUUAGCUGCUGUGUCUUUUCUUUUCUCUAAGCUUAGUUAAACCUGGAAGAUUUAAGUCUUCUAUAUCAACUUCAUUUGAUGAAGCAUAAUGUCCCUGUAUAACCUCCAGUAGCUCUUUAAGACUUUCAGUAUAUAAUCUCACUGACUGCAAACUCUGAAUAAAGAGAUCCUGCAUGCAAAUUUCACACAAACAUGUCGAAAAUGAGUUUUUCAUUAAAUUACUUUUCAGUUUAUGUUUUUGGCUAGAUAGUAAAGACGUUAAUUACUCUAUGUACUUAUUUCCAACUUAUUUUAAUGGAAUACAAUCUUGACGAAGUUAUUACAUAAAAUUUCACUUGUUCUAUUUUUAUUUUCUUUGCAUAACAAAUCCUAUAAACACAAAAAGAAUGUAAAUAGCUCAAAAAUAUAAGGAACUAACUAAGAAAAGACGAGAGAAUUCGAAGUAAAAAUAUAUAUAAAUAUGAUCCGAUCAAAUACCCACACACUUAACUUUUGCUAGUCCUCGAGCAAAAUAAAGAAAACAAGAACAGGAAGUAACAAGAAAAACAUUAGCUUCCCUCUAUGUGACCCUCAUAGAAUUUCAUUUGAGAACACAAAUCAUCAAGAAACAUAGCUAGCACCAAACAAGUUAAUCCAAGUUCAACUUCCUUAUUCAAAUAUUAGCAGUAAUCUUUGAAUCAUCCUUGAAGUGUAGUGUGUGAGAUAGACAUGCUAAUGCAAUUUCAAGUUUUUUUUAUUUUUAAAAUCAUCAUAUGCAAACUAGCGACCUUCUCACGGGAUAUGCACUCAAUCACACAUGUGUUUAGUUUUAAUGUGUUUCGCUCAAAGAAUCAAAUGUGAAAUUUCUACCAUAAGCUUGCAUAAAGAUCACUUCUCCACAGUCAUAAUUGCAAAACUUAAAUCAAGAGGACUUUUAUUGGAUGUAAUGAGGCUUAGGGAUAGGGUUAUUGAAACGAAAGAAUAGGAAAACACAAGUUCCAAGCUACAUUGCAAGCAAUUCUUUUGUUUAGAUUUAUAAGAACUCAAGCUCUCCAACGAUUCUUCUGAUACCUCCAAUCACACCCUUAAACUGAAACUUUAAAAACUUUUUAUUUUCUUUGUAUACAAUCUUUCUUUUUUUUUUUUUUUUUUUUUUUUUAAAUACAAACAUGAAAUACCCCACACUUAUUCUUUUGCCAAACACCUUCAAAGUACUUCACAAACGUUUCUCAUAAGACAAUCUCACAUUGCUCACUAGCUUGCUUGGAAAGGGUAAGGAAAAAUGUUUCAGGUAUAAGGGUAGACAUAUCUGGUGAUAAGAAAUAAAAGGCUAAACAUAUACGGCUCAAAUUGGCAAUCUAAUGAUAUCAUUUUUCUUUGGGAAACAUGGUUAUUUGGGCCAUGGUGGUAAACCUAAUGCCUCUAUCAUUUCCAAGUUCAUGCAAUCAAUGACAAACAUUUCGAAAGAUCGUUACGCAAGUUCUAGAGAUGUAUCUCACAUAAGUUCCUCACACAUGAAAGAAUAGGAGUGUAUGAAAAAUGCACACACUUUCAAUCGGCUCAAAAACUCACAUAGGAUGUAUAUGGUCACUAAAUUCACAUAUGAAGCUUUAAGUCAUACUUUAGUUUCACAUUAACAAGGCUAUGUGCAUUUGGUUUUUCAAAGAUGGUCAAAUAUGUACAAAACUAACAAGAGAAUUAGGAAUUUCAUAAAACACAUGUUAACUAAGUUCUUGAUAAUCGUGAUUCAAAUUUGAUCUAAUUAUAUCAUUGGGUCGGGAAACUAACAAAAAUCUAAUUCAAAACAAUAAGGGAAACAAGACAAUAUUUUUGGAUUUUUAAAUUUUCCGAAAUUUUUUAAAUUUAAAUUUUUUUUUUAAAAGAAAACAAAACUAAUUAAGAACACAAAAAACAACAACACAGUUUUUUUAUUUUUUUUUAAAAGAAAACAAAACUAAUUAAGAACACAAAAAACAACACAGUUUUUUUUAUUUUUUUUUAAAAGAAAACAAAACUAAUUAAGAACACAAAAAAAAACAACACAGAAACAAAUGAAAUUCUGGAGAUUUCUACCCCCCACACUUAAACUUGACAUUGUCCCCAAUGUCAGAAAACACUAUAAUGCAAAUAAAAAUAAAAUAAAUAAAUAAUAAGAAACAAAAUAAAACAAGUGGACUGAAAACUUCUCUAAUUUGCAGUAAAAUCAAGCGAUGACCCCCAAGCUAAAAUUCUGCAAUCAACUUCAAGGGUGGAAAUAACCAAAAGUUCCUGCAAAGAAAAGAAUUAAUUCAGUUAAGUAACACAAGAAAAUAUAUAAAAAUAAAAAUUGCAAACGAAAAAUUGAAAAUCACGAUAAAAGACAAUGAAUAGAACUAAUAAGUGAUCAUUGGUCGUGCUUGUUGACUUUCCACAGCUUUCCUCUUGAACGGGGUGACACUUAGCUUUUUACUUGCAAGUGAUGAUUUGAUGAUAUUGUACGGCGAAGCUUUGCUCUUUGGUGAUGUUGCAGUUCCUUAUUUGUUCUCCAAGCAGAUGUGGCAGCUUCUCUAGUUCCUCAGCUUGGACUCCUUCCGCUGGGAUGAUUGUGCAAGCUGCAUUCUUCUCUGCUUGUUUCUUCUGUACGUUGUCUCCACAUGCUGUUGGUAUCAUUUUCGCUUGCCUUAUCUGUUCUUCAGGUAGAUGUGGCAGCUUCUUUGGAAGUACAUCAGCAGUGGAAGACGAGUACUUGAGAGCAAUUUCUCCAUGUCCUGCAGGUUAGAACAAAGACAAGGAAAAGGACAUGGAGAAUACAUGAUAUGAGAUACUCUUGCUUUCAACCAUUAUGAUAUGAAAUACUUUUGCUCUGGAUGGGUUGUUUGCAGGGGUAUCCCAGGGAAUGAGGAAUACAGUGUAACUUAGGAGGAUUCUUUGAGAAUGCAUUCUCGGAGAUGAAGAAGUGUUGAGAGGGUGUGUCUUUGCUGUGGAAGGCGAAGGUAGAUACUUAUAGGACUUGUCUUCACAACCGGAACUAUUCUCUCACGUAUUGUCGGCAGCCGGUGGAUGAAUAAAUAGUACAAAUUACGCGCUUUCUGACAAAGCUGCCCGUAAUUUUCGCAAAGCUACCGGUUGCAUGUGACGAGUGACGACACGUCUGGACAAAUUGAUCCUUCGAAAUCCGGGGUUCGGCUCGUGGUUUCUGAGCAAGCCCAACUUUUAAGAAAUGAAACGCCUCUUUUGAGAAAAGAAUCCGGCUUUUAAGAAAGGAGCGUCCUCUUUUCAGAAAAGAAUCCGGCUUUUGAGAAAGGAGCCCCGCCUCUUCGAUUUGCGAGAGGUCGCCUCUUCAAUUUCUGAGAAGCGCCUCUUUGAUUUCUGAGGAGCGCUUCUUUGAUUUCUUCCUUUUUAUAGAGGCGUUAUUUUGUUCCACAACACACUUGAGCUCCCUCCUGUAAACACUCCCUUCUUGCACUUCCGAAAUCUUAAUCAGUCCUCCUCUCUUCUUUCUUCACCACCUCUGAAAAUGUAUGGCCCUUCCGAUCGUCGUUUUGACUUGAACCAUGGUGAAGAGGCAGCUCCGCCUUCACCAGACAACAUAUGGCGCCCAUCCUUCAUAUCCCCUACCGGUCCCCUUACCGUGGGGGAUUCGGUGAUGAAAAAUGAUAUGACAGCUGCGGUGGUGGCCCGGAACCUUGUCACCCCCAGAGAUAACAGACUGCUCGCUAGACGGUCUGAUGAAUUGGCGGUUAAGGAGUCUCUGGCUCUUAGCGUGCAGUGUGCUGGUUCUGUGUCCAACAUGGCCCAACGCCUAUAUGCUCGAACCCGUCACGUUGAAUCGUUGGUGGCUGAAAUACAGAGUCUCAAAGAGGAGAUUAAAGGACUCAAGCAUGAAAAUAAACAAUUGCACAAGCUCGCACACAACUAUGCCACCAGCAUGAAGAGGAAGAUUGACCAGAUGCAGGACACCGAUGGUCAAAUUUUACUUGAUCAUCGGAGGUUUGUGGGUUUGUUCCAACAACAUCUGCCUUCGUCUUCUGGAGCGGCACCGCGUAGUGAAGCUCCAAUUGAUCAACAUCUGCCGCCUCCUCCUUCUGUGGCCCCACCGACUGCUGAAGCCCCGCCUACUACUGAAGCACCACCCGACCAAUGAAUACUAUUAGUUUACAUCAUUGUAAAAUAUUUGUACUUUUUUUUUUUUUAAUUUUUUUUUUUUCAUUAAUUUUAAAUUUUAUCUUUUUUUUUUUAUGUAAAUUAAUGUAAAGAGACUUUGGUUAACCUUCCCCCACACUUAAACUAAAUAACACAAACUCACAGAAAUCAACCAAAUAACACAACUAACUAAACAAAACAAAAUGAAAGCAGUAAAGAUAAGGGUGGAAGAAUGCAAAGCUGAUUGGGUUAGUGAUUCCAAAGUCUCCCUUCGUUGAAUGCUUGGGUUGCCUCCCAAGAAGCGCUUGAUUUAACGUCUUUAGCCGGACGCAUCUUUCCUUUAAAUUUCCCUCGGCUCCAUUUGAACCUAAAAUCAAAGAAAGAAAAAUAAAUCAAAUAUCAAAAGUAAAAUACACAAACACCAAUAUAAACAUAAACAAAAACAAAAAUAAAAGGAUUAGCAAAGUUGCUAAUCCCCGGCAACGGCGCCAAAAUUUGAUGUGAGAAUUACUUGACACACAAAUUAAACCCUCUUUUGACAAUUGUAGUAUAGAUGUAAGUAGGGUAUCGUUCUAGGCCGGGGAUUAGGAGGGAUUGCUAAUCUAUUCUAAAUUAAUUUAAAAAUAUUAAACAAGACUCAAGGACACAAAACUAGGCUAAAAACUCUAAUAACUCGAAACACACUUAGAAUGACUCAAAAUAAUGAAAAAAAUCAAAUUAGACACUAGGAACUGAAAUGAACGGAAAUUGAAUUAAUAGACUAACAAUAAAGAAAACUAACUAAAUAAUAUAAUUUAAUAAUGGAUGGGUGUUUGGUUUUGAUGAAAAGUAAAUUAAACUUAAUUAAAUUACAGAAUUGACAAAAAACAUAAAAUUAAGGUAAAAUGAUAAAUGACGGACUAGCUAGAGGGUUCUUCUCCACACAUGACACAUAUGCAACCUAAAUUGAUUUUCAGUUGUUCUUUCAAUAAAUUGUAAAUCUCAACGCCCCAAAUUAACCGUGAAUUGCACUAAUUAACCCUCAGUUUUUCCACAAGUUAUUAGGUUGGAUGAUUGCAUACGACAACCCAAAACAUUCCCUACAAGUUCCCUACAUGAAUUGCAUAAUAGAGAUACAAGCAAGAAUCAUUAAGUUCUAUGAAAAACAUAAGCAUUGACGAGGCACUCGUUACUAUGAUUUGCAUGAAACUUAUGCCAAGAAUUUACUUAACGUGAUUGUGACUAGCAACCUUUACUACUUGUGAAUAUAAGUUCAUAACGAUUAGGUGAAAUUCACUUAUAUUUUAGCAUCAAAUUCAUGCAUGUAAAUUAAGGGUGCACUCUCAACCAACAUACACAAAUCAGUUUUUAUACGAACGGAUAAGUAAAUUGAAUUCACAACUUAUGAAAUCACAACUGAAGGUAAUCAAUUCAUAUUACAAAUAUAAUCAUGACUUUGAAUUAACCUCUAGCCAAAAUCAGUUUAUUUACACAUUAUUACAAAACAGAAAUAAAAGAGAAGUUUGGAAAGAUUAAACCGAAAGAGGAUCUGCUGCGUUCGUGCCCACUUCUCUCUCUCCCUGCCCGCGUCAGUCUUCCUUGCGUCAGUCUCAGCUGCAAGGGUAGCUUCCCCCGUGCUCACCUCUCUCCAUACUCACCAUGCCGUGCUCACCUUUGGACUCUCCCCGCUUCACUCUUCUGACCGUCCUUGCGAGCUGCCCCUCUGACUUUUCUUCCGCUGCCAAGCUAAAGCUGCCCAAAGGCAGCUUUCCUCCAAGGCUCCUGCCCUCUCGUUUCUCUCACUACCGCUGCCCAAUGGCAGCCCUCGUGUUCUCUGUCCGUGCUCACAGCUGCCAAAUAGCAGCUGUUCCUCUUCAGCCUCCUGUCCGUUUCACUUCUCUCUCUCUGCGUCUCUGCGAGCUGCCCAAAGGGCAGCUCCUUUCUUUUCUCCCCCUUCUGCAUGCCCCCUUCUGCACCCCCCCC